GACGAACCGAGCGAACGUUGUUCGGAAUCACUGGGCUUAAAGGGCGCGUAGGCGGGCGGUUAAGUCUGCGGUGAAAUCCUCCAGCUCAACUGGAGAACUGCCGUGGAUACUGGCUGUCUCGAGGAAGGUAGGGGCGUGUGGAACUAUCGGUGGAGCGGUGAAAUGCGUUGAUAUCGAUAGGAACUCCGGUGGCGAAAGGCGCACGUGGACCUUUUCUGACGCUGAGGCGCGAAAGCCCAGGGGGAGCAAACGGGG
rnacentral:rRNA from 1 species